rnacentral:rRNA from 1 species
AGAGUUUGAUCCUGGCUCAGGACGAACGCUGGCGGCGUGCCUAAUACAUGCAAGUCGAGCGAAUCUUAAGGUGCUUGCACCUUUUGGUUAGCGGCGGACGGGUGAGUAACACGUGGGCAACCUGCCUGUAAGACUGGGAUAACUUCGGGAAACCGGAGCUAAUACCGGAUAAUCCUUUUCCUCUCAUGAGGAAAAGUUGAAAGUCGGUUCCGGCUGACACUUACAGAUGGGCCCGCGGCGCAUUAGCUAGUUGGUGAGGUAACGGCUCACCAAGGCGACGAUGCGUAGCCGACCUGANAGGGUGAUCGGCCACACUGGGACUGAGACACGGCCCAGACUCCUACGGGAGGCAGCANUAGGGAAUCUUCCGCAAUGGACGAAAGUCUGACGGAGCAACGCCGCGUGAGCGAUGAAGGCCUUCGGGUCGUAAAGCUCUGUUGUUAGGGAAGAACAAGUACCGGAGUAACUGCCGGUACCUUGACGGUACCUAACCAGAAAGCCACGGCUAACUACGUGCCAGCAGCCGCGGUAAUACGUAGGUGGCAAGCGUUGUCCGGAAUUAUUGGGCGUAAAGCGCGCGCAGGCGGUCCUUUAAGUCUGAUGUGAAAGCCCACGGCUCAACCGUGGAGGGUCAUUGGAAACUGGGGGACUUGAGUACAGAAGAGGAAAGCGGAAUUCCACGUGUAGCGGUGAAAUGCGUAGAGAUGUGGAGGAACACCAGUGGCGAAGGCGGCUUUCUGGUCUGUAACUGACGCUGAGGCGCGAAAGCGUGGGGAGCAAACAGGAUUAGAUACCCUGGUAGUCCACGCUGUAAACGAUGAGUGCUAAGUGUUAGAGGGUUUCCGCCCUUUAGUGCUGCAGCUAACGCAUUAAGCACUCCGCCUGGGGAGUACGGCCGCAAGGCUGAAACUCAAAGGAAUUGACGGGGGCCCGCACAAGCGGUGGAGCAUGUGGUUUAAUUCGAGGCAACGCGAAGAACCUUACCAGGUCUUGACAUCCUCUGACACUCCUAGAGAUAGGACGUUCCCCUUCGGGGGACAGAGUGACAGGUGGUGCAUGGUUGUCGUCAGCUCGUGUCGUGAGAUGUUGGGUUAAGUCCCGCAACGAGCGCAACCCUUGAUCUUAGUUGCCAGCAUUCAGUUGGGCACUCUAAGGUGACUGCCGGUGACAAACCGGAGGAAGGUGGGGAUGACGUCAAAUCAUCAUGCCCCUUAUGACCUGGGCUACACACGUGCUACAAUGGAUGGUACAAAGGGCUGCAAGACCGCGAGGUUUAGCCAAUCCCAUAAAACCAUUCUCAGUUCGGAUUGUAGGCUGCAACUCGCCUACAUGAAGCCGGAAUCGCUAGUAAUCGCGGAUCAGCAUGCCGCGGUGAAUACGUUCCCGGGCCUUGUACACACCGCCCGUCACACCACGAGAGUUUGUAACACCCGAAGUCGGUGGGGUAACCGCAAGGAGCCAGCCGCCUAAGGUGGGACAGAUGAUUGGGGUGAAGUCGUAACAAGGUAACC